GGCUCUAUGAGCUGGCCAUACUCAGUAGUCAGAGUGAAACCGGCCAUGUAAAAACGACAAAGCAUAGGAUUCAGUGUAGGAGCUUGGGCCCCGUGGUAUCAGUUGACUUACAGACUGAGUUCAACCACAUGGGCAACAUAUUAAUCAAUCAUACCUAUGCAAUAAAGUCUUCAUAAAAACUAUGGACAACAAAGUUCUGAGUGUUCAGAAAUAUCAAAUAUGAGCUGAAUAAGUAGUGGAAAGACAAGGAUUCAUCCGUUCCACAGACUACAAACCUGGCCGAUAGAGGGAAUAUUUCAUUUUAGAUCAAAUGAUUCACUGUCAUCUUUGUCUGAUAUUACAACAUAGUGACCACACAACUAUCCUCAAUGGUAUUUGACUACAUGGAUUCUGUAAAAAGA